UACAGAGGGUGCAAGCGUUGUUCGGAAUUACUGGGCGUAAAGCGCGUGUAGGUGGCGAUGUAAGUCGGGUGUGAAAUCCCUCGGCUCAACCGAGGAAGUGCACUCGAUACUGUGUCGCUUGAGUGUUGGAGGGGAUGGCGGAAUUCCCGGUGUAGAGGUGAAAUUCGUAGAUAUCGGGAGGAACACCUGUGGCGAAGGCGGCCAUUUGGACAACUACUGACACUGAGACGCGAAAGCGUGGGUAGCAAACAGG
rnacentral:rRNA from 1 species